rnacentral:rRNA from 1 species
CACACCAUGAGAGCCGGUAACACCCGAAGCCCGUGAGGUAACCGGGGUAAGGAGCCAGCGGUCGAAGGUGGGAUUGGUGAUUGGGGUGAAGUCGUAACAAGGUAGCCGUAGGAGAACCUGCGGCUGGAUCACCUCCUUUCUAGGGAGA